AUUGAACGCUGGCGGCAGGCCUAACACAUGCAAGUCGAGCGGAUGAAGGGAGCUUGCUCCUGGAUUCAGCGGCGGACGGGUGAGUAAUGCCUAGGAAUCUGCCUGGUAGUGGGGGAUAACGUCCGGAAACGGGCGCUAAUACCGCAUACGUCCUGAGGGAGAAAGUGGGGGAUCUUCGGACCUCACGCUAUCAGAUGAGCCUAGGUCGGAUUAGCUAGUUGGUGGGGUAAAGGCCUACCAAGGCGACGAUCCGUAACUGGUCUGAGAGGGUGAUCAGUCACACUGGAACUGAGACACGGUCCAGACUCCUACGGGAGGCAGCAGUGGGGAAUAUUGGACAAAGGGCGAAAGCCUGAUCCAGCCAUGCCGCGUGUGUGAAGAAGGUCUUCGGAUUGUAAAGCACUUUAAGUUGGGAGGAAGGGCAGUAAGUUAAUACCUUGCUGUUUUGACGUUACCAACAGAAUAAGCACCGGCUAACUUCGUG
rnacentral:rRNA from 1 species